rnacentral:rRNA from 1 species
AUUGAACGCUGGCGGCAGGCCUAACACAUGCAAGUCGAGCGGAUGAAGGGAGCUUGCUCCUGGAUUCAGCGGCGGACGGGUGAGUAAUGCCUAGGAAUCUGCCUGGUAGUGGGGGAUAACGUCCGGAAACGGGCGCUAAUACCGCAUACGUCCUGAGGGAGAAAGUGGGGGAUCUUCGGACAUCACGCUAUCAGAUGAGCCUAGGUCGGAUUAGCUAGUUGGUGGGGUAAAGGCCUACCAAGGCGACGAUCCGUAACUGGUCUGAGAGGAUGAUCAGUCACACUGGAACUGAGACACGGUCCAGACUCCUAAGGGAGGCAGCAGUGGGGAAUAUUGGACAAUGGGCGAAAGCCUGAUCCAGCCAUGCCGCGUGCGUGAAGAAGGUCUUCGGAUUGUAAAGCACUUUAAGUUGGGAGGAAGGGCAGUAAGUUAAUACCUUGCUGUUUUGACGUUACCAACAGAAUAAGCACCGGCUAACUUCGUG